rnacentral:lncRNA from 1 species
UGGGAAACUCGCCGACUUCUUUGUCUUGAAGGAUGUGUCUGGCGUGAUGUUCGCAGGCUGUUAUGCUGAUGUAUUCAGUACGGACACGCUGAUGGAGUCUUUGGAGCGACGGCUACAGAGGCCUUUGUUGGCCAAAUCCAGGACAUUACCCAGCAUCCCUCAGUCCCCCGCCGCCAUCCGUGUGCAGCAGUCGGAGAAAGUUUGUGAAUGUCAACAGCGCCCACGUGUUCCUUCCAGCCCUGGUGGUCUUGAAGCAUGUACGCUGCCUCCUGCAGGUAUUGCGUGUGUGUUUGUGUUUAUUUAUUAAAACUGCACACUGCACAGCCGUGUUAG